GUGUGACUGCGUACCUUUUGUAUAAUGGGUCAGCGACUUAUAUUCUGUAGCAAGGUUAACCGAAUAGGGGAGCCGGAGGGAAACCGAGUCUUAAUUGGGCGUUAAGUUGCAGGGUAUAGACCCGAAACCCGGUGAUCUAGCCAUGGGCAGGUUGAAGGUUGGGUAACACUAACUGGAGGACCGAACCGACUAAUGUUGAAAAAUUAGCGGAUGACCUGUGGCUGGGGGUGAAAGGCCAAUCAAACCGGGAGAUAGCUGGUUCUCCCCGAAAGCUAUUUAGGUAGCGCCUCGUGAA
rnacentral:rRNA from 1 species